rnacentral:tRNA from 1 species
GGGGUGUUCGUAUAACGGUUCGUACUCCUGCCUUCCAAGCAGGCAGCGCCGGUUCAACUCCGGUACACCUCUCCA